rnacentral:rRNA from 1 species
UACGAAGGGGGCUAGCGUUGCUCGGAAUCACUGGGCGUAAAGCGCACGUAGGCGGACUCUUAAGUCGGUGGUGAAAUCCUGGAGCUCAACUCCAGAACUGCCUUCGAUACUGAGAGUCUCGAGUCCGGGAGAGGUGAGUGGAACUGCGAGUGUAGAGGUGAAAUUCGUAGAUAUUCGCAAGAACACCAGUGGCGAAGGCGGCUCACUGGCCCGGUACUGACGCUGAGGUGCGAAAGCGUGGGAGCAAACAGG